rnacentral:tRNA from 1 species
AUUCAUAUAAUAUAAAAAUUAUAUUUGACUUCCAAUCAAAAAAUCUAAUAACAUUAGUAUGAAUA